GAAGUGAGCGGGGUUUUGCUGCUGAGAUUUUGUCAGACUAUCCAAAUGGGUCUGUAAAAAGAAAUUAGAAUUGCUUUUCUUUCUCCCAGUUAGCAAGCAGUGUGGACAUAAGUGUAGUCAUGGCUUGAACCAGUGAUUGAGCACCUGGUGGGAAGGCAGGGCCAGCCCAGGGGAGCUCAGGUGCAUGCAAUGCACCUGAGUGACUGGAAUGGGUGGAGCCAGGAACCACCCCUUUCCGGACCUCAUUUAAGGGUUGGCAGUGGAGGUGAGGCUAUUUUGCUGGAGAUCCCUGCGUAUCUGAGGCUGUUUGAAGCCAGCUAGAGGAAUUCAUAAUUCUGAAACAAGUUUACAAAUUGUCAUCAGGUCUUGGAUCUAACGUUCACCUAAAAAUGGGGUUUAUAAAAGCAUGCAGAAAUAGCGGAGCAGCUAAAUGAUGCAGAAAGGCUGACGCAGUGAAAGGCCCGGGUGCAAGCUCUUCUUCAGUGCCUUUGGGAAGCGCUCUUCUCAGUUUCCCUGGUGAAACUGCUCUACUUUGAAGAAACAAAUACUAAUUUUCUCAAAGAUUUUAAUUCAUUUUGUCUUUAUACCGCACGAAUCCCAAGAAUCUAUCCUAAACAAAUGAGGAAUAAUUUUCUAUGCCAAAAUAAGAGCUUCACAAGGAAAGACUGAGAACCAAUUGCUCUGCAGUUUGCAGUGCAAUACUGUCCUACUGGUAGGCUUGUUAAGCCCAUGUUUUAUCCUGCUUUGAAGCUUUUUAAUGCAGAUUUUCAAGUAUCCAAAUAAAUGUUCUAAUGACUUUACAAAGGGAUCCUCCUCGCUCUUUCACAGAGUUGAACGUGCUCAGAAAGUAACUUCUAGUGAGAAAGGAAGAAGAAUAUCUGUUAUGAAUCAUAGCAGUUUUUAAGCACGAAGAACUCUACACCUGGAGACAGUAAUAUAGAAAGGAAUUCCAGCCUCAAGGUGGUCAGAAAGGACCAUUACCCACUACUAUGAAGUGUAAAUGGAGCCUGACUGUUAGACAUCCCAUAUUUUUCUACCUGAAUGUUGCAGUGAUAAAAAGUGAAACAAAAUACCAAGAUAAAGAAUCCUCAGUUAUUUUGGAAACCAAGAAAAUACAAAUUAUGUGUUGUUUAUGUAGUAUCUUUCUAAACACCACUUGAAGCUUUGCUACUGCUAAAAUUACUGGUACUUGGGAUUUCAUUUAUUCAGUGAAACGUGUUUAAGCAAGUUGUUCUUUCUUUCUCACUGUGAUUGCUUUUACUCACUGGUAGUUCAUUUUGCUAUUGUGGUUAUUCAAGACUGAACUGUAACUGAGUUACACUGGGUUAAGGAUUUGGCUUGGAGAGUUCUGUUGAAUGUACACAUCCAUUAUAACUUCAGCUGCAAACCAUUAACAUAAUGGGAACCAUGCCUGAGAAUUUUUCCUCUGUCUUUAUGUACUUAGUACUAGAUUUCAGUGUUGUUGAUUUCACAGGGUGUUUUUUCUUGUUCUGUACAUAAAAUGAGAAAUCUGGAUUAGAUUUGUACCCUAUCCUUGUGUUUUGAGGUUCUGAGACCCAGAAUCAAAUUCAAGUGUUGAACUUUUUGAAAUAAUGUCCUCUCUAAAUUUGCAUUAAAUUUCUUUAAGGGAAAGGACUAUCCAUUAGAUAUUGCUGUAUAUUUCUCUAGUGGGUAUGUUUUCUGUGCUGUCUGUAGUGAUUCCUGUAAAAUGCUAUUAACAGCAGGAGAUUACUCUGUAAAGUUUAUGAUGGUAGUCUUGCUGAUACAAGCAGAUACUUCCUAUCACAUUAAUGUUCCGUUUCAGUAACAGAUUGCCAGCCAUAGACUUUGUACAUCUCAUUCCCUGUACAGGCAAUAUAUGGGUCUGUGAGUGUAGUUUUGUAGAUUCAUUUAGCACCUAAUGCACUUUUAAUGAAGGUUUUUUUUUAGUAUCUCUUUGUAAGGCUUGUGAUGUAAUGAAUUUUCAUAGUGCUUCAGAGAAAUUUGUAAUUUCCAAAAUAGUUAUGAAAGUCAGAUACUAAGUUUACUGGAGCAUACUGCACUAAGGAGGGGAGGGGGAAAUUGAGUGAAUCAUGCUAGGAAACCUUGCAUAUAACCCAACAGAGCCUCAUGACAUUUCAUUCCACACUUUCUGCUGCUGAAACAUACAAUCUAAGCCAAUGAGCUGUUCCUGCUGGAGAGCACAGACGCAAAAUAAGUCAAACAUCCUUUCAGCUACUCAUCUCAUUGAAAUGUAUUUGACAAAAUACCCAAUCAAGGCCACUGAUUUUUUGCAAUUCCAUAAGAAUGGAAGUAAGUGUGUGGAGAAAGCUCUUCUCAGAAAACAUUGGUGUUGAACAGAAUGCAUAAACAAUUCGUAAGACUGUCUGUGUUGGAUGAGCCAGUGUGAAGACCUACUGCUUAUGUUACAAACCUGUGCUGAAUUUCUGCUUUAGAAAGCUUAACAGAGGUGGAAGGGGUGUGUGUGUGUGUGUGUGGAGAUCUACCAGAGAAGAACAGUCCAGAAGAAAGGAGGCAAUGUGAGGGAUUUGCAUCUGACUUUGGGAAUUUAAACUAAAAGGACAGAGAACUGUUAAACAGCAAACUAAUGGCUUGUUAUUCAAAUGCUGUAGUUAUUCGAAGUCUGUAGUUAGUAGGGUUUGGAGUAUUAGAGUAGACCAUGAGCUAAAAUGAACAACUUGAAAAACUUGUGGUAAACAUUCUCUAGCUCUUUAUUAGAAAACUCUUCGAUGAUAGAUUUCUUUUAAUAUAUUAUGUGGAUGAAAUUUCUUAGAGGUGGAAAGCAGCCUGUUUCUCAAGCAGUUUAACUCACACAUGGUGAACUAGGAGGAAGUAAUACAAGAGUAAACUACAGCACAGAAAUGAGUUGAAAUUGUCCCAGUAUUACCAAACCACUAUAAAAUUAGUACUUACUAAUCCUAAUGCGAUACAAUACUUAAAUGACUGUAAAUCAUGAUGUUUCAGGGCAUGCUCAUCCUGAGCUUAAGCCAGAAUUUUCUUAUUGAGGCUACUAUUCUGGAUUUUUAAAUGGAAAAGAUACAAGAAAUUCUAUUCUGUGUGAAGUAACUCAUACUAAGUACUACCAAGGGUAGGACAUGAGAUUACAUGAACUGUUGUUUUGGUUCAGUAAAGAACAUAUUUUUCCUCUCCGGUAGCAAAUGCUUCCAGAGCAUAUGGAGUAAAAUAGCAAAAAAAAGAAAGUGGAAAAAACUCAGCCAAAAAUCUGUAGCAAGUAGCCAUCUUUCCUUUUCAAUUAAAUUUAUCGUGGGAAGUUCUUAUCUAGACCAUGAGACAGCAGACAGGUAUUAUUUAAUGAAAAGUGUAAUAUCCUCUUUCUCUAUUAAGAUCCUUCGUAAAUAUCUACAGUAGGUGACAGUGCCUAAUGACAAUUGUUCCCAGUAGAAUUCUGAAGCAAGAUUUUACUUAAUAUAUUAACUAGUGAACCAGUAGUUCAGAUUAUCCUUGCUUUGCUGAACCACACUGUCAUGGUUUUGUGAUUUUUUUUUUGUUGUCAGUAUUCCACAUCAUAGUAUCAUGUAAAGCACUGGCAGCUAAAGAGUUAAUGUCCUGGUUUCUGCGGACUGACUUUUUGGGUGCUUGGUUCUCGGGGGAGGGGGGGGGAACGGACAGAUGGACGGAGCUACAUUCCCCAGGGGUCUUUGGGUCUGGAGGGGGCUGGUGAAGCUGCCUGACUGACCGGGAGUUUCUUCUCUUUGUAUGCAGCGGAGAAGCACGUUGUCCCCCUGCAGCUUACGGAGUAAGAAUCUCAGCUUUGAACUCCCUCUGUUUUGAUUUAUUGGCCUCAAUUUUGAUAUCUUAUUUAGUAAACUAAUGUUCCUCCUCAGAUUGGUGCUGCUGUUUUGUUCUAGACCCGGAUACGAUUUUCCUACCCUUCCCCUUUUCCCUUUGUUUUUCCCAGGGUGUGGGUCUGCGGGUCCCCUGCUGUAUCAGCCACCAGACCGGGCAGGCCCCUAAACCGACGGCACUUUUUUUUUCCUACUUUCUCUCUUUUCCGGGCCUGUGGGCCUGCUGUCCCCGUCAGACACAGAUCCAUAGAUAACGCCGUGACAUGCACUUAAUAAGAAACAUACCUGAGUUUAGUGCUCAUGACAUUUUUAUUAUAUGUUUUCCCUUCUUCAAUUCUCCCUUUUCCUUCUCUGUGUCAGGAUCUGAAUACUGGCCCUUUGACACUGUUUGCUUUCAGAAUUCAGCUGCAGCUGAUGAUACUUCAGUAGGUUUCUUUUCCCUCUUCUGCUAGAGUUCACAUUACUCUGCCUUGUCUUGACACCAAGUUCAAGUAACAGUACAGAACCUGAGUUUGAUGGGCUUCACAUUCAAAAUCCAGCAAUUAGAUAAUCCCAUGAUUAAGUCUUGAAAGACAUUAUACCUGGUUAAUGACUUGCAAUCUGGAAAGACUGGACAAAAUGCAGUGGAAGAUGUCAUUUCCUUUUGGAAGGAAGAUCCCCUCACCCUACAGUUUCCCUUAUAUGUAGUAGCCUGUAAUUGCAGAAGAAUUAGAUGCAUCUUCCUUUCCUGCCUUACAGAGUUCAGACCCGUGUGUCCCAUUUUCUUGCCUGGUUCUGGUGGUUAAUUGCAUAUAUGUGUGCACAGUGCUCUCUAGGCACUCUGGUGAAUCUGGACUGUUGCAUUGAAAAGAACUCAAGAUUGACUGGGCCAGUAAGAUAAUAGGAGCAUGAACAUAGGAGCUUCACGGGUAGGGCAGGACAUGAUAGAUGGAUAGCUUGAGUUCUGCUCUAAAGAUUCAUAUUUUAUUCAAUGCUGCUUCAUCAUCACCCCUUUCAACUGUGUUCUAAAAAGAAAAAGAGUAGUCCCUGCUUAGCUAUUUCAAAGAUGGGUCACAAACACUUUCUUUCAGGAAAGGGCUAAAAUCUGUGGAUCUGCAGUAGAUAAAAGCAUUUUCCUGCAAAAUAUGAAGCACAGAGUAGGUCAGGGUCACAUUUCAAACAUCCUCAUGCUUAGUGUUUCCUAUAACAGCUGCUUUCAAAUAGGACCUCCUCCCCCACCUUCCUCCAUUGAAUAAAUUCUUGAAAUAUAUCAGAAGUGUAAGAAGGCCCAAGGAAAGUCCAUCUGAUUACUUACUCUACCUUUGUUUUUUUCUUCCAUCAUGCUCUCUCCUUGUGGCAGCAGCUGGAUGAGGACAAGCAGCCUCUCCUACCCCUCUCCGCUUUGCCUGGCUGUGCACUGGCUGCACCAGUGCAGCUGGCAGAUCUCCCAGGUUAAGGUGGAAACAGCAGUGGAGCUGGAUUGUGAGAAAACAGUUUACAUAAGAAAUGGACACUUCAAAGGAAUCUCUGUGAAUGCAGUCACAAGACCUGAGGUUUUUUGCCCGACAGUGUCUUACAGUAGUUCAGCUGACACAGAGGCUUUUUGCUGAUGUCUCUGCCAGUCUCUCAGGAAUGAUGUUACAUGAGUAGUCACUGGUCAUAUGACAAGUGCCGGGUUUCGUCUGUUCC